CACCAGGUUGAUUCUGCCUGACGUGGACGCUAGUCUCACAGAUUUAGCCAUGCAUGUGUAAGCGAAGCUUAUAGUGGAGCGGUAUACGGCUCAGUAACGGGCGAUUUAUUUGUUCUCCUGGGACGGACCACAUCGGGAAACUGAUGGGAAAACGUCUAAGUUGCAGUUAAUUGACUGUGACGUAAACCUUUGUGUGCAGGAGAGUAAGAUGCCAUCCUAUCAGUUAGUAAGUAGGGUAAGGGCCUACUUAGACGAAGACGGGUACGGGGAAUGAGGGUUUGAUUCCGGAGAGGGAGCCUGAGAGAUGGCUACCAGGACCAAGGUCAGCAGCAGGCGCGAAAAUUAUCGAAGCCCGCCUAGGGGCGAUAGUGAGGAGACGUGUAUAACGAAGUACGUGUAAAGAACGUGCUAAUAACUGGAGGUCAAGUCUGGUGCCAGCAUCCGCGGUAAUUCCAGCUCCAGGGGUGUCUAUGAUGAUUGCUGCGAUUAAAAAGUCCGUAGUCAAUCUGACUGACUGACCUGCAAUGUGAUUGAUUAAAGAACGAGCAGGGUUAGGAAAGCAGAGAAUUAGGAGCGACCGAGGGCUAGAGUAUUGAAUGGCGAGAGGUGAAAUUUGAUGACCCAUUCAGGAGUGACAAAGGCGAAGGCACUAGUCAAGGGCGAAUCCGAUGAUCAAGGACGUAGGCUAGAGUUUCGAAAACGAUUAGAGACCGGAGUAGUUCUAGCAGUAAACUAUGCCGACGCCGUGGUAUCAAUAAUGGUAUUGCGGAAGAGAAAUCAAGUAAGGCUUUGGGGAGAGUACGCGCGCAAGCGAUAAAUUUAAAGGAAAUU
rnacentral:rRNA from 1 species